AAUUAGCAUUAAAACAAGUUAAAAGGGUAAACUUCAAAUACCACCAUUGUGGUUUCGUAAUUUUUCACUUUAAUACCCUGUGGUUUAAAGUGUAUAAAUCUAAUACUCUGUGGUUUCAUUUUUCUCUUUUCGUCAGCCCCUUCAUUAACUUUUCGUUAAAUCAUGUACAAAAAACUUCAGAUACCCCACCUAUAGUUUAUUGAAUAUUCACUUUAGUACUCUUUCACAGCGUUUGGAUGGGGUAUAAAGGGGGGAUAAUCCCUUAUCCCCCCUUUAUACCCAAACAUGAUUUUGGGGGGUGGGAACAAGUUGUUCCCACCCCCCGGGUAGAGAGAGAGAGAGAGAGAGAGAAAGAGAGAGAGAGAUUUUUAUUUUAAAUUUAAAUUUCUAAAAUUUAAAAUUUUAAAAUUUAAAAUUUAAAUUUAUAAUUCAAAAUUUUAAAUUUUAAAUUUUAAAUUUGAUAUUUUUAGUUUUUAAAUUUUAAAUUUGAUAUUUUAUAUCUUUUAAAUUUAAAUUUGGUUUUAAAUUUAAAAUUUGAUAUUUAAAAUUAAAAUUUUGACAAAAUUUAAAAUUUAAAAGUUAAAAUUUUCAAUUUAAAAUUAUAAGUUUAAAAUUUAAAAAUUUAAUUCAAUUAUGGAAAUAAUAUAAUUAUUUUCUAUUUAUAACUACCAACUAUUCCAGCUUGUACUCACAUUUUCAUCCAAACACAAUUUUUCUAAUUCCAACUUAUACUCACAUUUUCAUCCAAACAAAAAAAUACUUUUGUUCUUACAAAAAUCCAUACUUGUACGUAUCUCCAGUAUAACUAGUUCUUCCUUAUAUCCGAACCAAACGAAGCCUAGUUUUAACUUUGUCAGUGAUUUAACGAGAAAAAAAUUAGUGAAAGGAAUAACAAAAAGGAAAAAAUAAAAUCACAGAAUGCAGAAAUGAUGCACUUUAAACUACAGGAUAUAUAGUAAAGUGAGAAAGUGCGAAACUACAGAAAUGGCCUUUGAAGUUUUCCCUUAAAACAAUAAACGGUCGUAUAGUAAAUUUUUAAAUGAAUAAUUAAUGUUGUACCUACACAAGAUUUGAGUCAUCAUUUUCACUUUGAUACGACUAGUUAAUGUUCGGACAGAAAAUAUAUCGAUUAUUAAAAGCAAC
rnacentral:lncRNA from 1 species